UUCAGUUUUCCACUUGUCAUGAUUGAUCAUCUUUGUUGUGUCCGUAAUGUGAAGUUAAGACUUCAGGAAUAAGAAAGGUUCUUCCUUACAAAAUGAUUUAUAUGAUGUUUCAAUGUACAUUUUAAAGUGUUAUUUAUAAAGAAACACUUUUUUAAUAGUGUAAAUAAAAAAAUAAGAGCUUAAAUGUUUAAGAUUUUAGAAGCAUCUCAUUACAAAGAAAUCAUCGAAAGGCUGAUGCUGCUUCAAUGAAUAAUAUGUAAUAACCCAAGUACAGGGUUCUAAAGUAAGCAGGUUUUAGCUCCCCUUGUCCACUCUAGCCUGUCCACUCUAGCUGUGUGACCUAGAUGUAUUUCCUAACCUUAGCCUGGGUGCUCACCUGCAAGUGGGGAAAACAGCACUACCUAAGGUUGAUGCCAGGGUUAAAAUAAUGCAUUCUGAGGUGCUUGACCCAAAAAUGGUAACUAUUUUUCAAAUUGCACAAUAAAUCGUGUUUUAUGUAUCAGGGACUAGUUCUCAAGUAUGUCCUUAAAAAUAACAGUAACCUAAAAACUCACAGUGCUGACGUUUUUGUUGAGCAGUAAGGUGUUGAAACUGUACCAGCUAUUUUUAACCAUUUGUCAGGAAAAUCCCAAUCAACAUUUCUGGAAAAAUAAGGAGAUGCUGACUCUACCAACAUUUGUGAAAAUCAAACGCGAUGAAAACCAGCUGAGAUGUACACAUUUCUGUGUCCUUCUAUGUGACAACCUGAUGUGAUAAAUUUAUGUAAAAUGUAAACAUUUUUGUGCCAUAAACAUUACGUAGGCCAAACCUACCUUCCCUACUCAAACUCCCAUGGGCCAGUGGGGACUGUCCACUUAAAGGGAUGUUUCUGCGGCCGUGUCCCUUGGAAGCCCUGUGAGAACAGGACGGUAACACUGGAAGGUCUCUUGGGGGAGAUAGGAUGCAAGAUGCAAGGAAGCCAUCACCUCCAGUCAAGACUACCACAGUAGCGACGAAUCUGCCAGUUACUUCCAGUGAGGUGGGGCGGAAUGGUAGAAAUAAACGGAGAGUUGUUUUUUUCUGCACUUAACCUUGAAUUGUAGAUAAUGGCUAUAAGGCUUAAAUUUAUAGUCUGGACAAUUAAAACAUCCCUUCAUCCCUAAAAGCAAACACGCUUCUCUCCGGCGUCAUUAACCAGCCCUGAGAACUCGGGUCUCGUGGUGCAGCCUUCCGGACCGCGUGGCUGCCAGGGGAGGGGGCGGUGGCCGAUACCCAGAGCACGUGGCGGUCGGUGUGCCGUGUUCAAGUGGGUAACUCGGCCGGCGGGACUACGGUGGCCCGGAGGGCUUGAGAGGGCGCGCAUGCGCGCUCUCUGAGUCGGUGAGAGAAUGGCGGCAGGGCCAGGUGCCCGGGCGAUGGUGCCCCUGCGGUUCCUCCUCUCGGCGCUGAAGCCCCGGAUUCCUGGGCCUCAAGCCGUGCCCGCUGCCGCGUACGGCACCUCAGUGACCUCUGCGAAGGUGGCCGUGAAUGGUGUUCACCUGCACUAUCGGCGGACUGGAGAGGGAGACCACGCAGUCCUGCUGUUGCCCGGGAUGCUAGGAAGUGGAGAGACUGAUUUUGGACCACAGGUUAGGAACCUGAAUAAGAAACGCUUCACGGUGGUCGCAUGGGAUCCUAGAGGAUAUGGACAUUCCAGACCCCCAAAUCGAGAUUUUCCGAUGGACUUUUUUGAAAGGGAUGCAAAGGAUGCUGUUGAUUUGAUGAAGACACUGAAGUUUUCAAAGGUCUCUCUGCUGGGAUGGAGCGAUGGUGGGAUAACAGCACUCAUUGUGGCUGCAAAAUACCCAUCUUACAUCAACAAGAUGGUGAUCUGGGGGGCCAAUGCCUACGUCACUGGUGAGGACGAAGUCAUCUACCAGGCGAUCCGAGAUGUUUCUAAGUGGAGCGAGAGAACAAGAAAGCCUCUAGAAGCCCUAUAUGGGUACGACUACUUUGCUCAAACAUGUGAAAAGUGGGUGGACGGCAUUCUGCAGUUCAAACAUCUGCCAGACGGUAAUAUCUGUCGACACUUGCUGCCCCUGGUUCAGUGCCCCACUUUGAUUGUGCAUGGGGAGAAGGACCCAUUGGUCCCACGUUUCCAUGCUGACUUUAUCCAUAAACAUGUGAAAGGGUCACGGUAAGUCCAGACCCCAGUGCAGCCCUCUGUGCCACAGAGGCUUAGGAAAUAAAUGGAGCAAACUAUGGUGAAGAGAAGAAAGGUGAGAUGCUGAGGGUUUUAAGGUUGCAUCUAAUGCCUGAAGGAAAGCACAACCUGCAUUUACGUUUUGCAAAUGAAUUCAACAACUUAGUGGAAGACUUCCUACAGUGAAAUACCCUUGAGAAGUUUUGAGACCUGGUGAUUGCUUGGCAUGGAGCCUUGAUCAUGUCAUUGCCUGUGAUCUUUGCCUUUAAAAUCCCACCCGAGUCCCACCUGAGUUCACCCACCUCAGACUACUACUGAUCAAAUGUGGAUCGCUGUAAAAGCAAGAAAGAAUAAGGACAUAUUGAGAACAUUCUCUAGUUUUAAUAGCUACAAAAAUUAAGUCUGAUUUUUAACACCAAGUUGUAAAUUUCUAUCAUUGUCUUAAAAAAUGUAUUCCUACCAUGAUUUGUUUUACUUUCAAAUAAAUUCUUUUCAGUAGAGCAUAUGCAAUGUUCCUAACUG